AUUGAACGCUGGCGGCAGGCUUAACACAUGCAAGUCGAGCGGGGGAAGGUAGCUUGCUACCGGACCUAGCGGCGGACGGGUGAGUAAUGCUUAGGAAUCUGCCUAUUAGUGGGGGACAACAUCUCGAAAGGGAUGCUAAUACCGCAUACGUCCUACGGGAGAAAGCAGGGGAUCUUCGGACCUUGCGCUAAUAGAUGAGCCUAAGUCGGAUUAGCUAGUUGGUGGGGUAAAGGCCUACCAAGGCGACGAUCUGUAGCGGGUCUGAGAGGAUGAUCCGCCACACUGGGACUGAGACACGGCCCAGACUCCUACGGGAGGCAGCAGUGGGGAAUAUUGGACAAUGGGGGGAACCCUGAUCCAGCCAUGCCGCGUGUGUGAAGAAGGCCUUAUGGUUGUAAAGCACUUUAAGCGAGGAGGAGGCUACUUUAGUUAAUACCUAGAGAUAGUGGACGUUACUCGCAGAAUAAGCACCGGCUAACUCUGUGCCAGCAGCCGCGGUAAUACAGAGGGUGCGAGCGUUAAUCGGAUUUACUGGGCGUAAAGCGUGCGUAGGCGGCUUAUUAAGUCGGAUGUGAAAUCCCCCGAGCUUAACUUGGGAAUUGCAUUCGAUACUGGUGAGCUAGAGUAUGGGAGAGGAUGGGUAGAAUUCCAGGUGUAGCGGUGAAAUGCGUAGAGAUCUGGGAGGAAUACCGAUGGCGAAAGCAGCCAUCUGGCCUAAUACUGACGC
rnacentral:rRNA from 1 species